rnacentral:rRNA from 1 species
AUUGAACGCUGGCGGCAGGCCUAACACAUGCAAGUCGAGCGGAUGAAGGGAGCUUGCUCCUGGAUUCAGCGGCGGACGGGUGAGUAAUGCCUAGGAAUCUGCCUGGUAGUGGGGGAUAACGUCCGGAAACGGGCGCUAAUACCGCAUACGUCCUGAGGGAGAAAGUGGGGGAUCUUCGGACCUCACGCUAUCAGAUGAGCCUAGGUCGGAUUAGCUAGUUGGUGGGGUAAAGGCCUACCAAGGCGACGAUCCGUAACUGGUCUGAGAGGAUGAUCAGUCACACUGGAACUGAGACACGGUCCAGACUCCUACGGGAGGCAGCAGUGGGGAAUAUUGGACAAUGGGCGAAAGCCUGAUCCAGCCAUGCCGCGUGCGUGAAGAAGGUCUUCGGAUUGUAAAGCACUUUAAGUUGGGAGGAAGGGCAGUAAGUUAAUACCUUGCUGUUUUGACGUUACCAACAGAAUAAGCACCGGCUAACUUCGU